rnacentral:rRNA from 1 species
CCUACGGGAGGCAGCAGUGAGGAAUAUUGGUCAAUGGACGAGAGUCUGAACCAGCCAAGUAGCGUGAAGGAUGACUGCCCUAUGGGUUGUAAACUUCUUUUAUAUGGGAAUAAAAUGUUCCACGUGUGGGAUUUUGUAUGUACCAUAUGAAUAAGGAUCGGCUAACUCCGUGCCAGCAGCCGCGGUAAUACGGAGGAUCCGAGCGUUAUCCGGAUUUAUUGGGUUUAAAGGGAGCGUAGGUGGAUUGUUAAGUCAGUUGUGAAAGUUUGCGGCUCAACCGUAAAAUUGCAGUUGAAACUGGCAGUCGUGAGUACAGUAGAGGUGGGCGGAAUUCGUGGUGUAGCGGUGAAAUGCUGAGAUAUCACGAAGAACUCCGAUUGCGAAGGCAGCUCACUGGACUGCAACUGACACUGAGGCUCGAAAGUGUGGGUAUCAAACAGGAUUAGAUACCCCAGUAGUC